rnacentral:lncRNA from 1 species
UUUUCAACAAGAAAUGCGAUGUCAAAGAUAGGUUUUUCUAUCUAGGUCAGCGGUGAUUUAGAUAAUCGUUGCUAGGAGUCCUUUGAUUGACUAACAAUAAACUCCAUAAAGUAGAUAGACUCAGUUUAGAGUUGCUUCCUUCCAGAGGACCGGCUAGGACAACUGCAUUAAAUGGAGGCUGUUACUCGUAGGCAAUGGGCUACGAUAGAAAGAGGGAGUCCGCCGAAAUUUCGCAGCGGUAUGUCAGACCAUCGGCUGAUGAACGGAAUCCCAUGGAUGAGGAGAGCUAUGAAAUUAUUUACACUACCUUCUGCUGACCAUUAUUUUUAUUU